rnacentral:sRNA from 1 species
GGAUAUUUGAACGACCCGGUGGUGGUUGUUAGCACUCUUCACGCGAGAGUGCUAGCUCCGUGGCUGAGAUAUGCCCCGGCUGAGUGUCAAGCAUUGAUUCGCAACGGGAC